CCAGUAAGGCAGUCCUAUGGGAGGAAGUCCCCCCCUGAUCUCCACCCUGGCCCCAUAGGACUGCUUUACUCUCUGCUUAUGUUGGAAUCCUUAAGAGCCUUCUAUCACACAGCAGACGCUCAAAAAAUGCUUGCUGACUCUCUGCCAUGGUGUUAGAGGACCCAUCCACAGGGGAGGGGCCUUCCUUAGAGAAAAGGCCCCCCUGUCUGCAGAUGACAGCCCCAUCACCAUCCACACAGGAAAAACCAAAUGGAUGAAAGGAAGGAGUCCUGGGCCCGAGUUCUCCCUCCAUCCGUGAUCCCCGAUCCGAUUCUCCCUGUCCUCCUCAGCCUAAAGGGGCCCAGACCGGAAGGGGUUGCGUCUAGAGGAGGGGCCACGGCCACCCCACCCACCCCCGCUGCAGGAGACAGCGGUGAGUAUCUCUCUUCGGACUCUGUGGCUGAAGCUUCCUCCAGGAGACCCCAGAGAUCGAGGCAGGCUUCUGCACCCAACAGUGGUGGCGUUGCCUGGCCCAGGACCACUGGACAGCCUCCCCCCUGGGGAACUCUCCCCUGCCUGCAGUCUCUGCCUUCUCCCAUGCAUUCUUCACUCAGCUGCCAGAGUGAUUUUCACAAAAUCCAGGCCUGAUUAUAUCACUCCCCUGCUCAUGAAUCUUCCAGGACUCCCUAUUCCUCUAAGAUAAGAUACAAACUCUUCAGCCCAGCAUUUAGGACCCUCCAUAAUCUAGCUCCAACUCACCUUCCCAACUUUAUUUUCUUCUUGUUCCAGGUAAAUCGAACCCAAUUGCUUUUUGACUUUAACAGGCCAUCUCCAUGUCUUUGCUUUGUAUAGGCUACCACCCUCCACCCUUCCCAUGCCAAAAAUGUCCUCCCUUCCCCUCUUCGACCUUUCAAAGCUCGGUUUAGGUGCCGCCUCUUCCGUGAAGCCUUCCCUGAUUCCUCCCAUCCCAGCCAGACUAAUAUCUUGCCUGGAGUCCUUAUUGGCAUCUCUCUGUUGCCCCUUCCCCCCUUACCUUGGGCAGUGCCUGCAGCAGACUUUAAGCCCAUGAGGGCAGAGUUUGAGUCAUUGUGCAGAAUAGGAUCUUCCUAAAGUUGGUGAAAUGUCCUGUGCUUCAGAUGAGGGUAAGGGGGAGAUUUUGUGUGUAAAGGCAGGGAGAGAGGCAAGACCCGGAGAACAGUCUGGCCCAGAAGGGAUCAAGUGAGUACCAUUGAAUCAGGUCCCAAAGGGAAUUGGGGACCCAACUGUUGAGGGCCCUGGGCAUCAGACAAAGUAGUUGGAAGUUUAUUCUUCUGACAGUGGGACACCAUUUUGUGAUUUUAGCAAGCCCCUUCCUCUCCUUGGCCCUGUGAUAAAGUAUGAAAGGUUUACAAAAACUGAGAGAUGCAACUCUUAGAGAAUGAUUGACAGGAGAAUGUGACUUAGGGUCACAUGGGAGCCUGAGCCUUGGGAUCUGGGAAAAUUCUAUUUGCCCAACGGUUGCUUCACCUCAGAGUCUGCUCUCCUGGAAGGACCUAAGGCUUGAAGAGGAUUUUCCAUGUGACCAGCAGAGGAAAGAGGUUUUGGAUCUGGCUGCUGGCAGCAUCAGUGAGAAGAUCUCUGGACCUACUUGGACAUCUGCCAACUUGAAAUCCUGGCCUUAUUUGAUUGGACUCCUGGUGUGAGACUUGGAUAUUGGGAAGAUAAUGUUUACCUUAGUAAUAUGGUUUAGUUAUAAAUAUUAGCUUUUAUUUAUUUUUUAUUUGGUAAAUUUCAAACAUUAUUCCUUGGUUACAAAAAUCAUAUUCUAUUCCUUCCUCCCCUCCCCCCACCCUUCCCGUAGCCCAUGCGCAAUUCCCCUGGGUCCUUGAUCAGAACCUAUUUCCAUGCUGUUGGUGUUUGCAUUAGGAUGAUCAUUUAGAGUCUACCUCCCCAAUCAUAUCCCCUUGACCCAUGUCAUCAAGCAGUAGUUUUCCUUCGGUGUUUCUACUCCCACAGUUCUUCCUAUGGAUGUGGAUAGUGUUCUUUUUCGUAGAUCCCUCCAGGUUGUUCAGGAUCGCUGCAUUGCCACUAAUGGAGGAGUCCAUUACAUUCGAUUGUGCCACAGUGUAUCCGUCUCUGUGUAUAAUAUUUUCCUGGUUCUGCUCCUUUCACUCUGCAUCACUUCCUGGAGGUCGUUCCAGUUCACAUGGAAUCCCUCCACUUUAGUAUUCCUUUGAGCACAAUAAUAUCCCAUCACCAACAUAUACCACAAUGUGUUCAGCCAUUCCCCAAUGGAAGGGCAUCCCCUCAUUUUCCAAUUUUUGGCCACCACAAAGAGCGCCACUAUGAAUAUUCUUGUAUAAGUUAGAUAUUGGCUUUUAAAUUAAGUAUAAAUGUAUUCCUAAACCCUUAUUCCUUCCUACCCUUCCCAAACAAUAAAUCAGAAUUUACUUA